GGCAUGUUUGGGUAUGUUGGAUUGUGGGUUCGAUGUUGGCUCACUUCACUCGAGAGUUGAGGCACGUUAGGUGUAGUGCCCGUGCUUAGCAUGGACUUGCGGGAUCCGUUUGCCUCGGACACCACAGCCUGGCGUUAGAAUUUGUGCACGACGAUUGGUUUCAUCCUGUCUAAUGUCAUCGCUGCCUUAUUCCUUGGCAAGCUUGUUCUUGGGCAUCGUUCUAUACCCGGCCAUUACCCCAUCGUGUGUUGCUUGUGCAUGCAUGGUACCAUGCCCCUUCUUGUGCCUAGCGGUGCGUGCUUUGGGCUAUGCUUGGCGCCUUCGAUGGCCUAUUGGCUAUCGAUGUGCGGCACACUCGUAUGAUGCACAGCAUACAUGAUGGUGCGCGAGUGGUGUUUAGCUUGUUGCGGCGAGUGGGAUCCCUGCUUGAGCACGACCUCCUGGCAUGCAAGCCCCUUCAGUUGCGGUUCAAGAGCACUAUUAGCCUUGGCCUCCCUACGGGUUUCCUACGUUGCAUACCCAACGUUGACGGCAUUUGAUUUGUCCCAAAGUUCCCCGUUCGCCUCGAGUUGGCCCUUGCGGGUGCGGCUCGGGGUGUACCACAAAGCCCCUACCAUGUCCCAUGCCACGGGCGCCUCUUGGUGUCGUGGCCCUGGCCCCCGACGGGUGGCUCAAGCUUUCAGAUACAGAAUGCCCUGCGGUUAAGGGCCCCGAUCCCUGAAUAGCUAGCAUGAAGCCUUUGUCGCUAACCAGCGCACGACUGCCGUGCCCAUCUCGAGAGGUCCGGCCCCUUGGUCGGCCAUCCCGUGCGGAUACGACGUCGGUGAGGAAUGCUACCAGGUUGAUCCUGCUAAUAGUUAUAUGCUUGUCUCAAAGAUUAAGCCAUGCAUGUGUAAGU
rnacentral:misc_RNA from 1 species